GCCUACUCGGUCUCUGGCCUCUCUGAGGGUGACUGCCCCGAGGGAGCCUGUCUGUGGACAUCUGUGACUUCUUGUGUGACCUUGGGGAUCUCGGUACCUGUCCAUCUCCACAACGGGACGGAUGCCAACACCACAUGGCCCCUUUGUCUCGCUCUUUGGAUGGGAGACGCUGUUGACUUCGCAGGGAGGAACCUUUCAUGGACCUGCAGAAAGGCUGAUGCCGACAGGAGACCCAGCUGCCCUUCGGGAGAGUCCAGGCUGAUGCUGUUCUACAGAACCUUAGUUUCUUGGAUAUUCCCAUCAGGCUCCUGAUUACAACUUUGGAGCAACCAAUGAUCCCCUAAAGGAUCCAUCUCAGAUUUUACACUGAGCGUGCUGGGACAGGACUGGGGGAGCCUAGUCAGUGCUGCAUGGACACCUGGCAAUGUGGACAUGACCAAUAAAGCUCAUCGUUUAUGUAGCGCAAUAAUGAGUCUCAAAGGCUUGAUUUAAGGAGUUGCUCACUAAUCUAGGACACAAGACCCAAUUGCUCUCAUCAGCUAAUGAAACUUACUUCUACAAAGAAGGCCAUCAUGGUCAGCCUGAGUUUCUUAUCGCCUCUGUCAAGGAGCGGGAUCACUAGGUCCAGCAGCAUCCUUGUGGUCUCAGGGCAAGCAUAGUGCACCAUGGCUCUGUGACACAAAGCAGAAAUACCUUUGUUAGUAAGGGAAGAAGCACAUUCUGCAACAAGGGGGUGAGGGGUCAGCUUGGGGCCACAUGGCAGCCCAGAAGUGAGGAAUGUUUCAUUCUGGAAUUGCCCCCACUAGCAGGACUGACUGCAUGGAAAACGCUUGUGUAUUACCUGGCCAGCAGGCUCACCCCAUGGAGGUGAUCUUGGGGGCUUUGUAGGAGGAUCCAGCCUUGCUCCUUCUCCAUAACCAUAAGCUCGGAACGGCAGCCAACACAGAGAAGCAGCAUCUUUAUAGCCUCCACUGCAGAGCUAGAUUCAAACAACACACCAGCGUGACUGAGUGCCAGGAGCCCCCUCAUGGUAGGUCUGUCAGGGAGUGACGGAUUCACUUGUGUGUGGAAAGACACACCAAUGGUUUAAAUAGAGCUUAGGAAGGCACAGGUUCGUGACUGGGGUUCCUAGGCACUAUAGUAAUACAAUUUAAUAAUAUGAAGAAAGA